GAUGAAGAACGUAGCGAAAUGCGAUAAGUAAUGUGAAUUGCAGAAUUCAGUGAAUCAUCGAAUCUUUGAACGCACCUUGCGCUCCUUGGUAUUCCGAGGAGCAUGCCUGUUUGAGUGUCAUGAAAUUCUCAACCUUUUCAGCUUUCUUUGUUGAUCAGGCUUGGAUGUGGGAGUAUGCGGGCUUCUCAGAAGUCGGCUCUCCUGAAAUGCAUUAGCGGGACCUUUGUUGCCUGGCUUUGGUGUGAUAAUUAUCUACGCCAUUGUAGUCAAGCAGCUUAAAAUGAGGUUUCAGCUUCUAACCGUCUCCCCUGAGACAACUUUUUGACAAUUUGACCUCAAAUCAGGUAGGACUACCCGCUGAACUUAAGCAUAUCAAUAAGCGGAGGA
rnacentral:misc_RNA from 1 species